GAUGCAUGCAGUUGCUCUUGCCAUGAAAUGUGACCUCUGCCCGUAUCAGUAGAGAAUGAGAGGAAACCACUGGGGUAUCUCAGAGCGCCCAGGGGAUGAAGAAUUGCCCAGAUUGACUCUGCUUCAGUCGGGGGAGGAACAUUGCGUCUGCUUCGUGUAUGGUCCUUCUGGGUCUGAAGCCUGGUAUGAGGCUAGGGCUCUUUACUGGUUGCAGGAAGGAAGUGGGGUGCUGGGAUUCUACCUGCAAUGUAGAUUAGAAUAAACAGUGAAAAGAGAAGGGUCCCCCAGUCUGUGUUCUCUUGUUCCCUCUCCUUCAUUCUCCUUGGUCUAUCUUUUUCAGCCCAACUCUAGUCAAAGACCACACAUUUCCCACAGAAACUUGCAGCAGGCUGGCCCUGGCCUGUGGUGUCACUACUGACAGACACUGUCCAUCUGUUACGCCUGUGCCUCCUCCCUUCCGUCCUUAUAAAUUCUAUUUCCUAAGAGCAGUUGGUUACCAUAGUAAAGACUUGCAGUGAACUGGAAAGCCUUCACCCCUCUUCAGCUGACUGCCUCUCAGAGAGGUAAGGUCUCAAGAUGAAGAAGGGUUGCCUUUGAUGGAGGCAGAAAUCACAACCCUGCUUCUUAGUCUCUUGCCUCCACUCCAGUGGGAUUUACUCCCCAGACACCACCUGUUCCUAAAAUGAACAGUCAGCAUUCAUCAGCUAGUGAAGAGCACUGUGCAGCUGUGUCCUGUUCCUGGCCAGGCUGUGUCACCACUGAAAAACCAAGAGUUGACCAUAGCUUUAAUUGUGAUUAGAAAUGACUAUCAACUUUACCAUCAGCUCAGCCCUACCAAAUUGAAAAUGGAAAGUAAUUCUGGAAUCUUUCCAGGCUCCUUACCUGCUGUAAUUUUGAAUCUUACCUGUCUACCAAAGUAGACAUAAUAUAAUAUAUUAUAUAUUAUAACAUAUAAUAACAACUAAAGCCUUGGUCCCCAGCUGGGUGCUAUUAAAAGGGGGAGGAGCCUUCAAGAGGUGGGACUUCCUGGGACAUCUAUAUGUUACUGCAGACAGAUCUUGAGAAAACUGUGAUCUGUUUCUC
rnacentral:lncRNA from 1 species